GCUGGGCAUGGUGGUGCAUGCCUGUAAUCCCAGCAGUUUAGGAGGUUGACACAGGAAGAUCACAAGUUCCAGGACAGCCUCAUCAACUUAGUGAGGCCCUAGGCAAUUUAGCAAGACCCUGUCUCAA
rnacentral:sRNA from 1 species